GCAUUCCGUCACCCAUUAAAAGAGAAGACAUACUUGAAUAUGGGGUAGCGUCAUGCAGCACUGAAGGAUCUUGACAGACAUGAUUACUAGCACUAGAAUCGGGGUACCAAGACCUAGUGCCAACCGGCACAGGAAUAAAUGAGUCAGUGCCAUCAUCACUAGUCCCACGUUGUGCGGUGUUGAUAUGAGAGCUGGAAGUUUUAGAGUAAUCAGAUGCAUGAAUAUCACUAAGUCGAGGAAGCCCGAUGCACAG
rnacentral:lncRNA from 1 species